AGUUGAAAGCAAGAAAAAAGGAAGGAAGAAAGGAGGAAGAGGCAGGCACAAGACAAAAUGAAUCUCUCCGCUGUGCACAUGGAGCCUUAGCUCUGAUUCCAGUUGAGCAAAAUUAUGAAGAAGAUGAUUCCCCAUAUGGAGGACAGAUAAACACCCUGCGGCGAGUCACUCACUCCCGAAAGGCCCUCUGAAGGAUCGCGCAUGUCCUGACUGCACAGCCUGCUCCUGAAUAAAUGGAUGUUACUACUGCUAGUACUGCUUCUGCUGCCAAGCUUUUGAGCACAUAACCAGGAUGACAACCACAGUUCCACAAAGCUCUGAUAAAACAUCAAAAAGAAACUCACCACCAAGGAAACCAGAGAAUCCUUUCUUGUCUUGAGUGAAUGGCAAUGAUCUUGGUGGCCAAGAU
rnacentral:antisense_RNA from 1 species